rnacentral:rRNA from 1 species
AGUGAACGCUGGCGGUAGGCCUAACACAUGCAAGUCGAACGGCAGCACAGUAAGAGCUUGCUCUUACGGGUGGCGAGUGGCGGACGGGUGAGGAAUACAUCGGCAUCUACUUUUUCGUGGGGGAUAACGUAGGGAAACUUACGCUAAUACCUCAUACGACCUACGGGUGAAAGCAGGGGAUCUUCGGACCUUGCGCGAUUGAAUUAGCCGAUGUCGGAUUAGCUAGUUGGCGGGGUAAAGGCCCACCAAGGCGACGAUCCGUAGCUGGUCUGAGAGGAUGAUCAGCCACACUGGAACUGAGACACGGUCCAGACUCCUACGGGAGGCAGCAGUAGGGAAUAUUGGACAAUGGGCGCAAGCCUGAUCCAGCCAUACCGCGUGGGUGAAGAAGGCCUUCGGGUUGUAAAGCCCUUUUGUUGGGAAAGAAAAGCAGCAGGUUAAUACCCCGCUGUUCUGACGGUACCCAAAGAAUAAGCACCGGCUAACUUCGUG